rnacentral:rRNA from 1 species
UACGGAGGGUGCAAGCGUUGUCCGGAAUCACUGGGCGUAAAGGGCGCGUAGGCGGCUCAUGAAGGCUGUGGUGAAAGUCCGGGGCUCAACCUCGGAUCGGCCGUGGCGACUCGUGGGCUGGAGCACUGUAGAGGCGGGUGGAAUUCCGGGUGUAGCGGUGGAAUGCGUAGAGAUCCGGAAGAACACCAAUGGCGAAGGCAGCUCACUGGGACGUUUACUGAC